GGGGCAGAGUGACAGGUGGUGCAUGGUUGUCGUCAGCUCGUGUCGUGAGAUGUUGGGUUAAGUCCCGCAACGAGCGCAACCCUUGAUCUUAGUUGCCAGCAUUCAGUUGGGCACUCUAAGGUGACUGCCGGUGACAAACCGGAGGAAGGUGGGGAUGACGUCAAAUCAUCAUGCCCCUUAUGACCUGGGCUACACACGUGCUACAAUGGACAGAACAAAGGGCAGCGAAACCGCGAGGUUAAGCCAAUCCCACAAAUCUGUUCUCAGUUCGGAUCGCAGUCUGCAACUCGACUGCGUGAAGCUGGAAUCGCUAGUAAUCGCGGAUCAGCAUGCCGCGGUGAAUACGUUCCCGGGCCUUGUACACACCGCCCGUCACACCACGAGAGUUUGUAACACCCGAAGUCGGUGAGGUAACCUUUAUGGAGCCAGCCGCCGAAGGUGGGACAGAUGAUUGGGGUGAAGUCGUAACAAGGUAGCCGUAUCGGAAGGUGCGGCUGGAUCACCUCCUUUCUAA
rnacentral:rRNA from 1 species